GAUGAACGCUGGCGGCGUGCCUAAUACAUGCAAGUCGAGCGAACAGACGAGGAGCUUGCUCCUCUGACGUUAGCGGCGGACGGGUGAGUAACACGUGGAUAACCUACCUAUAAGACUGGGAUAACUUCGGGAAACCGGAGCUAAUACCGGAUAAUAUAUUGAACCGCAUGGUUCAAUAGUGAAAGACGGUUUUGCUGUCACUUAUAGAUGGAUCCGCGCCGCAUUAGCUAGUUGGUAAGGUAACGGCUUACCAAGGCAACGAUGCGUAGCCGACCUGAGAGGGUGAUCGGCCACACUGGAACUGAGACACGGUCCAGACUCCUACGGGAGGCAGCAGUAGGGAAUCUUCCGCAAUGGGCGAAAGCCUGACGGAGCAACGCCGCGUGAGUGAUGAAGGUCUUCGGAUCGUAAACCUCUGUUAUUAGGGAAGAACAAAUGUGUAAGUAACUAUGCACGUCUUGACGGUACCUAACCAGAAAGCCACGGCUAACUACGUG
rnacentral:rRNA from 1 species